ACGGAAGGCAGCAGUAGGGAAUCUUCGGCAAUGGGGGCAACCCUGACCGAGCAACGCCGCGUGAGUGAAGAAGGUUUUCGGAUCGUAAAGCUCUGUUGUAAGAGAAGAACGUGUGUGAGCGUGGAAAGUUAACACCGUGACGGUAACUUACAAGAACGGGGCGGCUAACUACGUGCCAGCAGCCGCGGUAAUACGUAGGUCCCGAGCAUUGUCCGGAUUUAUUGGGCGUAAAGCGAGCGCAGGCGGUUUAAUAAGUCUGAAGUUAAAGGCAGUGGCUUAACCAUUGUUCGCUUUGGAAACUGUUAGACUUGAGUGCAGAAGGGGAGAGUGGAAUUCCAUGUGUAGCGGUGAAAUGCGUAGAUAUAUGGAGGAACACCGGUGGCGAAAGCGGCUCUCUGGUCUGUAACUGACGCUGAGGCUCGAAAGCGUGGGGAGCAAACAGGAUUAGAUACCCUGGUA
rnacentral:rRNA from 1 species